rnacentral:rRNA from 1 species
GUCAAGUCAGCAUGGCCUUUAUAUCCUGGGCUACACACACGCUACAAUGGGAAGGGACAAUAGGUUGCGAAGCCGCGAGGUGGAGCCAAUCCAGCAAAACUUCCCUCAGUUCAGAUUGCAGGCUGCAACUCGCCUGCAUGAAGUCGGAGUUGCUAGUAAACGCAGGUCAGCCAUACUGCGUUGAAUACGUUCCCGGGGCUU